rnacentral:sRNA from 1 species
GUUAGUGCUUGUAGUGCUUCUGAUCUUGUUGGUGAAUCUGAUCAAUGUUAAUAACAAUAUACUGUGGUGUGUGUGUUUUUUGUGUUUUGUGUGGCUGGAUUUUUCCACGCUGUAUUUUAUAUGCUAAAUUCUAAAGUUUUGUCACACCGCAAAACGUUUAAUCGCAAAAAUAUGAUACCUGUAUAUUUUUUCUUUUAGUCAUCGAUUCAAAUAUCACAAAGUACAAAAUAGCUUAAAAUAAAUCUUGACUAAAUUUGAAUGAAAAACAAAAAUCAGGACACCCAGAUAAAAACAGAAUAUAUAGCAGGAACCAUGUGAAGUAAAAAAGGUGUCUUUUUUAACCUUGGAUAUUUUAAUUUUUUGUGUGUCAGACUUUUGUUCCCAAAAGAGGAACUUGUAUGAAAGUUUAACAUUCCUUGCUUUCUUUGAUGUAUGCUAUUGUUAUGAAUGGGAUUUUUUUCUGAUGUUCUGUAACACGCAUUAGUGAUUUGUUUGCCAUUUUGAACUUUUUGGUGCAGUGUUAUACCUUCUGUGUACUUUUUUUAGAUUGUUAAAUUGUACUUCUCUAUUAUUGUUUUGCAUAAUAUUUUCAUAGUGAUCACUUUUUUAAAACAACAAUAUAUAUAUAAUAACU